UACGUAGGGGGCAAGCGUUGUCCGGAAUCAUUGGGCGUAAAGAGCGUGUAGGCGGCCAGGGAGGUCCGUUGUGAAAACUCGAGGCUCAACCUCGAGACGCCGAUGGAAACCCCCUGGCUAGAGUCCGGAAGAGGAGAAUGGAAUUCCUGGUGUAGCGGUGAAAUGCGCAGAUAUCAGGAAGAACACCCGUGGCUAAGGCGGUUCUCUAGUACGGUACUGACGCUGAGAACGCGGAAAGCGUGGGGAGCGAACAGG
rnacentral:rRNA from 1 species